UGGGGAAUAUUGGACAAUGGGCGAAAGCCUGAUCCAGCCAUGCCGCGUGAGUGAUGAAGGCCUUAGGGUUGUAAAGCUCUUUCAGCGGGGAAGAUAAUGACGGUACCCGCAGAAGAAGCCCCGGCUAACUUCGUGCCAGCAGCCGCGGUAAUACGAAGGGGGCUAGCGUUGCUCGGAAUCACUGGGCGUAAAGCGCACGUAGGCGGCUUUCUAAGUCAGGGGUGAAAUCCUGGAGCUCAACUCCAGAACUGCCUUUGAUACUGGAAAGCUUGAGUUCGGGAGAGGUGAGUGGAACUGCGAGUGUAGAGGUGAAAUUCGUAGAUAUUCGCAAGAACACCAGUGGCGAAGGCGGCUCACUGGCCCGAUACUGACGCUGAGGUGCGAAAGCGUGGGGAGCAAACA
rnacentral:rRNA from 1 species